rnacentral:rRNA from 1 species
UAUGUGAUCGUCUCUCGCAUAUCAAUAAGCGGAGGAAAAGAAACUAACAAGGAUUCCCCUAGUAACGGCGAGUGAAGCGGGAAGAGCUCAAAUUUGAAAUCUUAAAGGGUUUCCCUUUACGAAUUGUAGUUUAAAGAAGUGUUUUCUGUUGAGGUUUUGGUAAAAGUUCUCUGGAAUAGGACAUCAUAGAGGGUGAGAAUCCCGUAUUUGACCUUUACUUUCAACUUUGUGAUACACUUUCAAAGAGUCGGAUUGUUUGGGAAUGCAGUCCAAAAUGGGUGGUAAAUUUCAUCUAAGGCUAAAUAUUGGCGAGAGACCGAUAGCGAACAAGUACCGUGAGGGAAAGAUGAAAAGAACUUUGAAAAGAGAGUUAAACAGUACGUGAAAUUGUCAAAAGGGAAGCGUUUGACACCAGUGUUGUUUUUCUGAAAAUCAAUUAAAGAACUGUUUAUGCUAAGCUGUUUAGACUUUAUCAGCUAUCUGUUUAGUUUUGAGCUUUUCUUUAAUGCACUUUUCAGUUAACAAGUCAACAUCAAUUUCUUUUGCUGUAAAAAAGCUUGAGGAAGGUGGCUUGAGAUUCGUCUUAAGUGUUUAUAGCCUCUUGCCUAUGCAGUCGGAGAGAUUGAGGUCUGCAGCGUAGAUCCUUCGGGGCUAAAUGCAUUUGUGCUAAGUUAUAAGCAUUUUAUAGACAACUUGUUGACUAUGAUUUGUCUUGUAGCUUACUCGCUUAUGUUAUUUUACCUACGCUUAGGAUGUUGAGUAGCGACAUACGCAC